GACGAACGCUGGCGGCGUGCUUAACACAUGCAAGUCGAACGGAAAGGCCCUGCUUUUGUGGGGUGCUCGAGUGGCGAACGGGUGAGUAACACGUGAGUAACCUGCCCUUGACUUUGGGAUAACUUCAGGAAACUGGGGCUAAUAUCGGAUAGGAGCUCCUGCUGCACGGUGGGGGUUGGAAAGUUUCGGCGGUUGGGGAUGGACUCGCGGCUUAUCAGCGUGUUGGUGGGGUAGUGGGUUACCAAGGCUUUGACGGGUAGCCGGCCUGGGAGGGUGACAGGCCACAUUGGGACUGAGGUACGGCCAAGACUCCUACGGGAGGCAGCAGUGGGAAAUAUUGCAAGAUGGGCGGAAGCCUGAUGCAGCAACGCCGCGUGCGGGAUGACGGCCUUCGGGUUGUAAACCGCUUUCGCCUGUGACGAAGCGUGAGUGACGGUAAUGGGUAAAGAAGCACCGGCUAACUACGUG
rnacentral:rRNA from 1 species